UCAGUCGGCUGGACGGCCGCCCCGGCAAGGAUCGAAAGGUCGCCGGGGAGGAAAGUCCGGGCUCCAUCGACAUACGGUGCCGGAUAACGUCCGGCGGGGGCGACCCCAGGGAAAGUGCCACAGAGAACGAACCGCCCCGUUUCGACGGAGGUAAGGGUGAAAAGGUGCGGUAAGAGCGCACCGCGUUUCCGGCGACGGAGACGGCAUGGCAAACCCCACCGGGAGCAAAACCGAAUAGGGACAGCAUCGCGGAAAGUUCGCUCAACCGGGCGAUAACUCCGCAGGGCGAUGUCAAGCUCGCUGUCCGGGUAGGUUGCUUGAGGCGCCGGGCAACCGGCGUCCCAGAGGAAUGGCCGUCACGUCUGCGUGGUGCAAACCAUGCAGGCCCUACAGAACCCGGCUUACAGGCUGGCUGAUAUC
rnacentral:RNase_P_RNA from 2 species